rnacentral:rRNA from 1 species
AUGCGUGCGCAGCACCGCCUCUGCGGCGCUCGGCGAGGACACCACGAGCGUCGGGACGGCGCCGAGGCGGAGGAGCAUGAGGCCGUCGCGGCCAUGCUUGGCGGCGAGGUCUCGGAGGGAGAUGUGCGGGAGGGAGCCGACGAGGUGAAGGUGGCCGAUGACGGGGAGCCUCUUGCUGGGAGAAGGCAGCCUGCUCAGCAGCUCUUCUCUGGCUCUCGUGGUGACCGCGGCCGUCGACGGCGUCGCGAGGCGGCGCACGACCAGGAGGACAAGAAGAGGGCAGACGAGCAGGACAAAGACCAGUCCUAG